rnacentral:tRNA from 1 species
CAAUAUAUAGUUUAAUUAAAAUAUUAAUUUUGGAGAUUAAAGAUAUAAGGGUGUCUUAUUAUUUUGA